rnacentral:rRNA from 1 species
UACGUAGGUGGCAAGCGUUAUCCGGAUUUACUGGGUGUAAAGGGCGUGUAGGCGGGUCUGCAAGUCAGAUGUGAAAUCUCCGGGCUUAACUCGGAAGUGUCAUCUGAAACUACGGAUCUUGAGUACUGGAGAGGAUAGUGGAAUUCCUAGUGUAGCGGUAAAAUGCGUAGAUAUUAGGAGGAACACCAGUGGCGAAGGCGGCUAUCUGGACAGUAACUGACGCUGAGGCGCGAAAGCGUGGGGAGCAAACAGGAUUAGAUACCCCGGUA